rnacentral:ncRNA from 1 species
UGGCUGCGAAAAGAAUUUUGAUUUUUUAAAGAGACCGGAGAAAAUUAGCGGUCUCAGGCGACAGGCACAUACGCGAAGUCCUUCAAAACGUUUUUACAGCGUGAA